rnacentral:tRNA from 1 species
GAGGGUAUAGCUCAGCGGUAGAGUGCCUGCUUAGCAUUCACAAGGUCCUAGGUUCAAUCCCCAGUACCUCCA